CUGGCGGCAGGCCUAACACAUGCAAGUCGAACGGUAACAGGAAGAAGCUUGCUUCUUUGCUGACGAGUGGCGGACGGGUGAGUAAUGUCUGGGAAACUGCCUGAUGGAGGGGGAUAACUACUGGAAACGGUAGCUAAUACCGCAUAACGUCGCAAGACCAAAGAGGGGGACCUUCGGGCCUCUUGCCAUCGGAUGUGCCCAGAUGGGAUUAGCUUGUUGGUGGGGUAACGGCUCACCAAGGCGACGAUCCCUAGCUGGUCUGAGAGGAUGACCAGCCACACUGGAACUGAGACACGGUCCAGACUCCUACGGGAGGCAGCAGUGGGGAAUAUUGCACAAUGGGCGCAAGCCUGAUGCAGCCAUGCCGCGUGUAUGAAGAAGGCCUUCGGGUUGUAAAGUACUUUCAGCGGGGAGGAAGGGAGUAAAGUUAAUACCUUUGCUCAUUGACGUUACCCGCAGAAGAAGCACCGGCUAACUCCGUGCCAGCAGCCGCGGUAAUACGGAGGGUGCAAGCGUUAAUCGGAAUUACUGGGCGUAAAGCGCACGCAGGCGGUUUGUUAAGUCAGAUGUGAAAUCCCCGGGCUCAACCUGGGAACUGCAUCUGAUACUGGCAAGCUUGAGUCUCGUAGAGGGGGGUAGAAUUCCAGGUGUAGCGGUGAAAUGCGUAGAGAUCUGGAGGAAUACCGGUGGCGAAGGCGGCCCCCUGGACGAAGACUGACGCUCAGGUGCGAAAGCGUGGGGAGCAAACAGGAUUAGAUACCCUGGUAGUCCACGCCGUAAACGAUGUCGACUUGGAGGUUGUGCCCUUGAGGCGUGGCUUCCGGAGCUAACGCGUUAAGUCGACCGCCUGGGGAGUACGGCCGCAAGGUUAAAACUCAAAUGAAUUGACGGGGGCCCGCACAAGCGGUGGAGCAUGUGGUUUAAUUCGAUGCAACGCGAAGAACCUUACCUGGUCUUGACAUCCACAGAACUUUCCAGAGAUGGAUUGGUGCCUUCGGGAACUGUGAGACAGGUGCUGCAUGGCUGUCGUCAGCUCGUGUUGUGAAAUGUUGGGUUAAGUCCCGCAACGAGCGCAACCCUUAUCCUUUGUUGCCAGCGGUCCGGCCGGGAACUCAAAGGAGACUGCCAGUGAUAAACUGGAGGAAGGUGGGGAUGACGUCAAGUCAUCAUGGCCCUUACGACCAGGGCUACACACGUGCUACAAUGGCGCAUACAAAGAGAAGCGACCUCGCGAGAGCAAGCGGACCUCAUAAAGUGCGUCGUAGUCCGGAUUGGAGUCUGCAACUCGACUCCAUGAAGUCGGAAUCGCUAGUAAUCGUGGAUCAGAAUGCCACGGUGAAUACGUUCCCGGGCCUUGUACACACCGCCCGUCACACCAUGGGAGUGGGUUGCAAAAGAAGUAGGUAGCUUAACCUUCGGGAGGGCGCUUACCACUUUGUGAUUCAUGACUGGGGUGAAGUCGUAACAAGGUAACCGUAGGGGAACCUGCGGUUGGAUCACCUCCUU
rnacentral:rRNA from 1 species